UAUUGGACAAUGGGCGAAAGCCUGAUCCAGCAAUGCCGCGUGAGUGAUGAAGGCCUUCGGGUCGUAAAGCUCUUUUACCAGGGAUGAUAAUGACAGUACCUGGAGAAUAAGCUCCGGCUAACUCCGUGCCAGCAGCCGCGGUAAUACGGAGGGAGCCAGCGUUGUUUGGAAUUACUGGGCGUAAAGAGUACGUAGGCGGUUAUUCAAGUCAGAGGUGAAAGCCCGGGGCUCAACCCCGGAACUGCCUUUGAAACUAGAUAACUAGAGUCUUGGAGAGGUCAGUGGAAUUCCGAGUGUAGAGGUGAAAUUCGUAGAUAUUCGGAAGAACACCAGUGGCGAAGGCGACGACGGACUAGUACUGACGCGAGGUACGAGG
rnacentral:rRNA from 1 species